CUAUCCAGGAAAUCUUCAAAAGAAUCUCGGAACAAUUUACUGCUAUGUUUCGACGUAAAGCUUUCUUGCAUUGGUAUACUGGUGAAGGAAUGGAUGAGAUGGAGUUCA